rnacentral:rRNA from 1 species
UACGUAGGGUGCAAGCGUUACUCGGAAUUACUGGGCGUAAAGCGUGCGCAGGCGGUUGUGCAAGACAGAUGUGAAAUCCCCGGGCUCAACCUGGGAAUUGCAUUUGUGACUGCACGGCUAGAGUGUGUCAGAGGGGGGUAGAAUUCCACGUGUAGCAGUGAAAUGCGUAGAGAUGUGGAGGAAUACCGAUGGCGAAGGCAGCCCCCUGGGAUAACACUGACGCUCAUGCACGAAAGCGUGGGGAGCAAACAGG